CCAUGCAUGUCUAAGUAUAAGCAAUUAUACAGCGAAACUGCGAAUGGCUCAUUAUAUAAGUUAUCGUUUAUUUGAUAGUACCUUACUACUUGGAUAACCGUGGUAAUUCUAGAGCUAAUACAUGCUAAAAAUCCCGACUUCGGAAGGGAUGUAUUUAUUAGAUUAAAAACCAAUGCCCUCCGGGGCUCACUGGUGAUUCAUGAUAACUCCUCGAAUCGCAUGGCCUUGCGCCGGCGAUGGUUCAUUCAAAUUUCUUCCCUAUCAACUUUCGAUGUUUGGGUAUUGGCCAAACAUGGUUGCAACGGGUAACGGAGGGUUAGGGCUCGACCCCGGAGAAGGAGCCUGAGAAACGGCUACUACAUCCAAGGAAGGCAGCAGGCGCGCAAAUUACCCAAUCCCGACUCGGGGAGGUAGUGACAAUAAAUACUGAUACAGGGCUCUUUUGGGUCUUGUAAUUGGAAUGAGUACAAUUUAAAUCCCUUAACGAGGAACAAUUGGAGGGCAAGUCUGGUGCCAGCAGCCGCGGUAAUUCCAGCUCCAAUAGCGUAUAUUAAAGUUGUUGUGGUUAAAAAGCUCGUAGUUGAACCUUGGGCCUGGCUGGCCGGUCCGCCUCACCGCGUGUACUGGUCCGGCCGGGCCUUUCCCUCUGUGGAACCCCAUGCCCUUCACUGGGUGUGGCGGGGAAACAGGACUUUUACUGUGAAAAAAUUAGAGUGCUCCAGGCAGGCCUAUGCUCGAAUACAUUAGCAUGGAAUAAUAGAAUAGGACGUGUGGUUCUAUUUUGUUGGUUUCUAGGACCGCCGUAAUGAUUAAUAGGGA
rnacentral:rRNA from 1 species